AUUGAACGCUGGCGGCAGGCCUAACACAUGCAAGUCGAGCGAGUGGCGGACGGGUGAGUAAUGUCUGGGGACCUGCCCGAUAGAGGGGGAUAACUACUGGAAACGGUGGCUAAUACCGCAUACCAUCGGAUGAACCCAUAUGGGAUUAGCUAGUAGGUGGGGUAACGGCUCACCUAGGCGACGAUCCCUAGCUGGUCUGAGAGGAUGAUCAGCCACACUGGAACUGAGACACGGCCCAGACUCCUACGGGAGGCAGCAGUGGGGAAUAUUGCACAAUGGGCGCAAGCCUGAUGCAGCCAUGCCGCGUGUAUGAAGAAGGCCUGAGGGUUGUAAAGUACUUUCAGCGGGGAGGCGUUACUCGCAGAAGAAGCACCGGCUAACUCCGUGCCAGCAGCCGCGGUAAUAC
rnacentral:rRNA from 1 species